UGAUGACGAGACGCUAAGGCGUUGAAGCAGUGUAUGUCAGACUUCCAAGAAAAGCUCGCAAUGUCACAAAUAAAGAAUGCCUGUACCAUAACCGACACAGGUGGGUAGGUAGAGUAUACUAAGGGGCGCGAGAUAACUCUCUCUAAGGAACUCGGCAAAUGACUCCGUAACUUCGGGAGAAGGAGUGCCUUAUUUAUAAGGUUGCAAUAACAAGAUCCAAGCAACUGUUUAUCAAAAACACAGGUCUCCGCUAAGUCGUAAGACGAUGUAUGGGGGCUGACGCCUGCCCAGUGCCAGAAGGUUAAAGAAGUUGGUUAGUGUAUGCGAAGCUGAUGACUGAAGCCCUGGUGAACGGCGGCCGUAACAAUAACGGUCCUAAGGUAGCGAAAUUCCUUGUCGGGUAAGUUCCGACCCGCACGAAAGGCGUAAUGAUUUGGAUACUGUCUCGGAGAGAGGCUUGGUGAAAUAGACUUGUCUGUGAAGAUGCGGACUACCUGCACCAGGACAGAAAGACCCUAUGAAGCUUUACUGUAACUUGAAAUUGGAAUUGGACUUUGCUUGCGCAGUAUAGGUGGGAAGCGUUGAAAAUAUUCUUGCGGGAGUAUUGGAGCUAUCAGUGAGAUACCACUCUUGUAAUGUUAGAUUUCUAACUUUGAACCAUAAUCUGGUCAAAGAACAGUUUCAGGUGGGCAGUUUGACUGGGGCGGUCGCCUCCCAAAUGGUAACGGAGGCGUACAAAGGUUUCCUCUGAACGGAUAGAAAUCGUAUCUAGAGUGUAAAGGCAUAAGGAAGCUUGACUGUGAGACCUACAAGUCGAGCAGGGACGAAAGUCGGUCUUAGUGAUCUGACGGUACUGAGUGGAAAGGCCGUCACUCAACGGAUAAAAGUUACUCUAAGGAUAACAGGCUGAUCUCCCCCAAGAGUUCACAUCGACGGGGAGGUUUGGCACCUCGAUGUCGGCUCAUCUCAUCCUGGGGCGGUAGUACGUCCCAAGGGUUGGGCUGUUCGCCCAUGAAAGCGGUACGCGAGCUGGGUUCAGAACGUCGUGAGACAGUUCGGUCCAUAUCCGGUGUAGGCGCUAGAAUAUUGAGAGGAGCCUUCUUUAGUACGAGAGGACCGAGAAGGACACACCGCUGGUGUACCAGUUAUCGUGCCAACGGUAAACGCUGGGUAGCUAUGUGUGGAGUGGAUAACCGCUGAAAGCAUCUAAGUGGGAAGCCCACCUCGAGAUGAGUAUUCUC
rnacentral:rRNA from 1 species